UAUUCUGCCCCACGGGGAAGGAUGAGAAGCUUCGACCAAGGUUCGACUCGAGCGAAGCGAGAGAACGUUGCCGCAGGCAACGGCCCGAAGGGCGAAGCGAGAGAACGUUGCCGCAGGCA
rnacentral:sRNA from 1 species